rfam:Pelodiscus sinensis unplaced genomic scaffold scaffold27, whole genome shotgun sequence.
AAUGAAUGAUGACAACGUGUUUCGGUCCCAUAUGAACACCGAAUGAUUAUGCUCUUAUCCCACUUUCUGACAUU